GACGAACGCUGGCGGCGUGCUUAACACAUGCAAGUCGAACGGAAAGGCCCUGCUUGCAGGGUACUCGAGUGGCGAACGGGUGAGUAACACGUGGGUGAUCUGCCCUGCACUUCGGGAUAAGCCUGGGAAACUGGGUCUAAUACCGGAUAGGAGCCAUUUUUAGUGUGAUGGUUGGAAAGUUUUUUUCGGUGUAGGAUGAGCUCGCGGCCUAUCAGCUUGUUGGUGGGGUAAUGGCCUACCAAGGCGGUGACGGGUAGCCGGCCUGAGAGGGUGGACGGCCACAUUGGGACUGAGAUACGGCCCAGACUCCUACGGGAGGCAGCAGUGGGGAAGAUUGCACAAUGGGCGCAAGCCUGAUGCAGCGACGCCGCGUGGGGGAUGACGGCCUUCGGGUUGUAAACUCCUUUCGCUAGGGACGAAGCUUUUUGUGACGGUACCUAGAUAAGAAGCACCGGCUAACUACGUG
rnacentral:rRNA from 1 species